rfam:Cricetulus griseus cell line CHO-K1, whole genome shotgun sequence.
CGGAUCCUGCGUUUAGGACGCAGAGGGGGCAGGGAGGACGUGCUACAGCCAUUUUGGCCAUCUUCAGCUCGGGCGGGGCUGUAUUUGCAAUCUGUAACCUGAGGGGA